rnacentral:lncRNA from 1 species
CAAGACUCCUACUUAAAUUACAUGGUUAUCACAACAGGCAGCAGAACCACUGAGCUAAAUCCCUGGCACUUUGUAUAAUUUAUGGUUACCAGCUAUCCAACAAAGCCAUGAAACCUUCAGAAUUGCUUCACCACAUGGAAUCCCAGCACCCCACAACUAAAGACAAGACUUUGGAGUUUUUCAAAAGAGAAAAAAAAACACAUGAACAUGAAGAACAGAGACAAUCACUGAAGGCCACCACUUCAUCAAAUGUGUUUUUGCACUGAGGGCAUCAUUCUUAGUGGCUAACUGCAUCGCUAAAGCUAAGAAGCCCUUUCCUAUUGGUGAAGAGUUGAUCCAGCCUGCUGCUAAGGACAUUUGUCAUGAACUUCUAGGUGCAGCCACAGUUCCUAAGGCAGCAUGUCUUUCCCAUUUGGCUAGCACCCUUAAUAGACUCAUUGAUGAAAUAGAGGAUAUUGAGUUGCAGUAUUUAGAGAUUAAUGAGUGACUGUGGUAUGAAAUUGAGGUUGAUGAGUUCACUGGUACUGAUAAG